rnacentral:rRNA from 2 species
UUAAGCGACUAAGCGUACACGGUGGAUGCCCUGGCAGUCAGAGGCGAUGAAGGACGUGCUAAUCUGCGAUAAGCGUCGGUAAGGUGAUAUGAACCGUUAUAACCGGCGAUUUCCGAAUGGGGAAACCCAGUGUGUUUCGACACACUAUCAUUAACUGAAUCCAUAGGUUAAUGAGGCGAACCGGGGGGAACUGAAACAUCUAAGUACCCCGAGGAAAAGAAAUCAACCGAGAUUCCCCCAGUAGCGGCGAGCGAACGGGGAGGAGCCCAGAGCCUGAAUCAGUGUGUGUGUUAGUGGAAGCGUCUGGAAAGGCGCGCGAUACAGGGUGACAGCCCCGUACACAAAAAUGCACAUAUUGUGAGCUCGAUGAGUAGGGCGGGACACGUGGUAUCCUGUCUGAAUAUGGGGGGACCAUCCUCCAAGGCUAAAUACUCCUGACUGACCGAUAGUGAACCAGUACCGUGAGGGAAAGGCGAAAAGAACCCCGGCGAGGGGAGUGAAAAAGAACCUGAAACCGUGUACGUACAAGCAGUGGGAGCCUCUUAAUGGGGUGACUGCGUACCUUUUGUAUAAUGGGUCAGCGACUUAUAUUCUGUAGCAAGGUUAACCGAAUAGGGGAGCCGAAGGGAAACCGAGUCUUAACUGGGCGUUAAGUUGCAGGGUAUAGACCCGAAACCCGGUGAUCUAGCCAUGGGCAGGUUGAAGGUUGGGUAACACUAACUGGAGGACCGAACCGACUAAUGUUGAAAAAUUAGCGGAUGACUUGUGGCUGGGGGUGAAAGGCCAAUCAAACCGGGAGAUAGCUGGUUCUCCCCGAAAGCUAUUUAGGUAGCGCCUCGUGAAUUCAUCUCCGGGGGUAGAGCACUGUUUCGGCAAGGGGGUCAUCCCGACUUACCAACCCGAUGCAAACUGCGAAUACCGGAGAAUGUUAUCACGGGAGACACACGGCGGGUGCUAACGUCCGUCGUGAAGAGGGAAACAACCCAGACCGCCAGCUAAGGUCCCAAAGUCAUGGUUAAGUGGGAAACGAUGUGGGAAGGCCCAGACAGCCAGGAUGUUGGCUUAGAAGCAGCCAUCAUUUAAAGAAAGCGUAAUAGCUCACUGGUCGAGUCGGCCUGCGCGGAAGAUGUAACGGGGCUAAACCAUGCACCGAAGCUGCGGCAGCGACACUAUGUGUUGUUGGGUAGGGGAGCGUUCUGUAAGCCUGUGAAGGUGGCCUGUGAGGGUUGCUGGAGGUAUCAGAAGUGCGAAUGCUGACAUAAGUAACGAUAAAGCGGGUGAAAAGCCCGCUCGCCGGAAGACCAAGGGUUCCUGUCCAACGUUAAUCGGGGCAGGGUGAGUCGACCCCUAAGGCGAGGCCGAAAGGCGUAGUCGAUGGGAAACAGGUUAAUAUUCCUGUACUUGGUGUUACUGCGAAGGGGGGACGGAGAAGGCUAUGUUGGCCGGGCGACGGUUGUCCCGGUUUAAGCGUGUAGGCUGGUUUUCCAGGCAAAUCCGGAAAAUCAAGGCUGAGGCGUGAUGACGAGGCACUACGGUGCUGAAGUGACAAAUGCCCUGCUUCCAGGAAAAGCCUCUAAGCAUCAGGUAACAUCAAAUCGUACCCCAAACCGACACAGGUGGUCAGGUAGAGAAUACCAAGGCGCUUGAGAGAACUCGGGUGAAGGAACUAGGCAAAAUGGUGCCGUAACUUCGGGAGAAGGCACGCUGAUAUGUAGGUGAAGCGACUUGCUCGUGGAGCUGAAAUCAGUCGAAGAUACCAGCUGGCUGCAACUGUUUAUUAAAAACACAGCACUGUGCAAACACGAAAGUGGACGUAUACGGUGUGACGCCUGCCCGGUGCCGGAAGGUUAAUUGAUGGGGUUAGCGGUAACGCGAAGCUCUUGAUCGAAGCCCCGGUAAACGGCGGCCGUAACUAUAACGGUCCUAAGGUAGCGAAAUUCCUUGUCGGGUAAGUUCCGACCUGCACGAAUGGCGUAAUGAUGGCCAGGCUGUCUCCACCCGAGACUCAGUGAAAUUGAACUCGCUGUGAAGAUGCAGUGUACCCGCGGCAAGACGGAAAGACCCCGUGAACCUUUACUAUAGCUUGACACUGAACAUUGAGCCUUGAUGUGUAGGAUAGGUGGGAGGCUUUGAAGUGUGGACGCCAGUCUGCAUGGAGCCGACCUUGAAAUACCACCCUUUAAUGUUUGAUGUUCUAACGUUGGCCCGUAAUCCGGGUUGCGGACAGUGUCUGGUGGGUAGUUUGACUGGGGCGGUCUCCUCCUAAAGAGUAACGGAGGAGCACGAAGGUUGGCUAAUCCUGGUCGGACAUCAGGAGGUUAGUGCAAUGGCAUAAGCCAGCUUGACUGCGAGCGUGACGGCGCGAGCAGGUGCGAAAGCAGGUCAUAGUGAUCCGGUGGUUCUGAAUGGAAGGGCCAUCGCUCAACGGAUAAAAGGUACUCCGGGGAUAACAGGCUGAUACCGCCCAAGAGUUCAUAUCGACGGCGGUGUUUGGCACCUCGAUGUCGGCUCAUCACAUCCUGGGGCUGAAGUAGGUCCCAAGGGUAUGGCUGUUCGCCAUUUAAAGUGGUACGCGAGCUGGGUUUAGAACGUCGUGAGACAGUUCGGUCCCUAUCUGCCGUGGGCGCUGGAGAACUGAGGGGGGCUGCUCCUAGUACGAGAGGACCGGAGUGGACGCAUCACUGGUGUUCGGGUUGUCAUGCCAAUGGCACUGCCCGGUAGCUAAAUGCGGAAGAGAUAAGUGCUGAAAGCAUCUAAGCACGAAACUUGCCCCGAGAUGAGUUCUCCCUGACUCCUUGAGAGUCCUGAAGGAACGUUGAAGACGACGACGUUGAUAGGCCGGGUGUGUAAGCGCAGCGAUGCGUUGAGCUAACCGGUACUAAUGAACCGUGAGGCUUAACCUU